AGCAGGAGCAGACUGACUGGGUCACGAGCUAGGAUACUGUGCUGCAAGCACAGGCCACAGAAGACGUCUCCUGCCCGCACAGAUUCCCCUUUACAAACCCUGCUCCCAAGUGCAGAUAGACACACACCCUAACUGAGAGAGGUGUGCACAACUGAACAGUUUGAUUGGUGAUGUCAGUCAUCGAGAUGUGCAGGACCGCGGCCUCGUUCAAUACACAGGAUGGCCCUGCUUUCGGAGCGAAUUAGGGGUGUGCGGUGAAGGAAAUUGUUGUCUGUGAGACACCUGCCCCAUUUGUUACAGAAGUGAGAGGGCAGAUGAUGAGGACAUCCUGUGCAAGCCUACAAAAGGAAAAUCAACAUGAGAAAUCAUAAUUUAAUCUGCUGGAUGGGAUUAAUAGAACUGAGAGAAUGGUCACAUUUGGAACAUAACUUGGAUAUUUCAACAUUCUCUUGCCUGGUGGUGAAGAAGAAAUAUGGUCAGAAAAGGAACC